rnacentral:lncRNA from 1 species
AUGAUUUAUUCCAAUUUGGCCUACAACUUUUUGACUUUGUAAUUACUACGUAAUCCUAUUUUUCUCUUACAGCUUGCUCUUCAUUUAGUACAGAUUUAAGCAAUUUGCAGCUAACGAUUCUAGCAACUCUAUUGCAUUACUCUUUCGUUUUAAUAUUUGAAUUGUGAGAAAAGGACAACUAAAGAAAAUAUAUACUCCAGUGAUAUACAGAAAAUAAUAAAACCCCGAGCCAUUUAGUUUAUUCAAAUAAUAAAAUAAUAGAGUAGGAGAUUUGCUUGAUGUUUUAUGAUAGUACCAAACUUGUUCUUUCUUACAUGUCAUAGUCCAAGGACAAACUCUAUCGAAUACAACAAAUUACUAGUAAUUCUUUUUAACAA